rnacentral:rRNA from 1 species
UACGGAGGGUGCGAGCGUUGUCCGGAAUCAUUGGGCGUAAAGGGCGCGUAGGUGGCCCGGUCAGUUCGUGGUGAAAGCGCGGGGCUCAACCCUGCGUCGGCCAUGAAUACUGCCGCGGCUGGAGCACUGUAGAGGCAGGCGGAAUUCCGGGCGUAGCGGUGGAAUGCGUAGAGAUCCGGAAGAACACCGGUGGCGAAGGCGGCCUGCUGGGCAGUUGCUGACACUGAGGCGCGACAGCGUGGGGAGCAAACAGG